UCGAGGAUCUUCGGCAAUGGGCGCAAGCCUGACCGAGCGACGCCGCGUGCGCGAUGAAGGCCUUCGGGUUGUAAAGCGCUGUCGAGGGGGAGGAAAGCCGUAAGGUCUGACCUAUCCCUGGAGGAAGCACGGGCUAAGUUCGUGCCAGCAGCCGCGGUAAGACGAACCGUGCAAACGUUGUUCGGAAUCACUGGGCUUAAAGGGCGCGUAGGCGGGCUGCCAAGUCUGGGGUGAAAUCUUUCGGCUCAACCGGAAAAUUGCCCUGGAUACUGGCGGUCUCGAGGGAGGUAGGGGCAUGUGGAACUUCCGGUGGAGCGGUGAAAUGCGUUGAUAUCGGAAGGAACGCCGGUGGCGAAAGCGACGUGCUGGAUCUCUUCUGACGCUGAGGCGCGAAAGCUAGGGGAGCGAACGGGAUUAGAUACCCCCGUAGUCC
rnacentral:rRNA from 1 species